AUACUUACCUGGCAGGGGAGAUACCAUGAUCAAGCAGGUGGUUUUCCCAGGGUGAGGCUCCUCCAUUGCACUUGGGAGGUGCUGACCCCUGCGAUUUCCCCAAAUGUGGGAAACUCGACUGCAUAAUUUGUGGUAGUGGGGGACUGCGUUCGCGCUCUCCCCUG
ensembl:snRNA U1 U1 spliceosomal RNA